GUGUUCUAGGCCAGACAGGGCUACAUAGUGAGACUUUUUUUAUUUAAUGUCUGGAAAUGCAUGAGACUGGCAAAGUUGAACUUUGCAUUUGAGACAUUUGCCAUGUAUGAAAUGGUACCUGCCAGGUCUGUGAACUAAGAAAUACAGGAAUGGUGACCAUGGAAGAGGGAGAAAGGACAUGUUUGGAUUGGAAUCAAAGAUUCCCUCAUCAUGGGACUCUAAAUUCAGAUGCUACUCACACCAGUAUGGAUGGAGUCGUCAGGAUUAACGUUUCUAUUGUGCAGCCCCGUGCUAAGGGAAAAUGAAGGGAACAUCGGAAUUCGGUUUAGGAAGCUUUUGCUGUGGCACUGAGGCUGCUCCAGGAAAUGUGAACACUGGUGCAUUUGUAAUCACAACAGUGUCCACAGGAGUCCUGUUAAUUUCAGGCACAUCCCUUCUCUGCGUUCCACUUCUGCAACUGUCCCGGUCUCCAUGGUGCACAUUGUUUCAACUAUGUUACCCAGGAGAUGGCGCAUACACCUUUAAUUCCAGAACUUGAGAGGCAGAGACAGGUGGAUCUUUGAGUUCAAGGCUAACUUGCUCUACAGAGUGAGUUCCAGCGCUACACAAGAAAUCCUCUUACUAAAAGAGAAACAAGGCUGGAAGGAUAUACAUGGAAGUCUAUAAUCCCAGAAUUUGGAUUUGAAGGAGGAUUAUGUGUUCAAGACCAUCUCCAAUCUGAACUACAAUAAAAUAGACAAGUUCUCAAAAACAUCAACUAUUACAGACAGCUGAGAUGGCUCAGCAGGGAAAGGUACUUGCAGCCAAGCUUGACAAGCUGAGCUUAAAUCCUCAAGAUCCAAAAGAUGGAAGGAGAGAGCUGACUCCCACAGCACCCCGACACCCAUGUGCACAUUAUAGUUUGCAUAUGCCGCCCACCCUCAUGCAAAUUUGAUAAAUAAGAUGUAACUGUGGGUACAGUUCUUUAAGUGUCUUUUGUGUGCUGGAUUGAUGGUCACAAGGUGCCUUGUUUUGUGCCUAUGCCAACAUGCUUUUGUUUCCCUGUGAAGUUUGAAAGGUGAGACUGCUGUUCAUGUCAUCUUGGUUAGCAGUUAUGUUCAUUCAAUGCCAGACACAUGUCAUUUCUGAGCACUGUGAUCAAGUUCUGGGAGGCUCCCCUUUCUCAGUGAAUUGGCAUUUGCUACCUGUGACCUUUAACACUGAUUUCCACUUCGUAAUUUCUACAUUUAGAUGGUGGCGUGUCACAGAGAUUCUUCUCUUGGCACUUAAGGUUCUUAACACCUUCUGUGACUAAAUGUCCAUUUCUCCCUUAGCUCUGUAAAAUCAUAUGCUACCAUUUCAUCGAACGGCUUUUCUAGUCCUUUAGAUUUUUCUUUUGUUAACUUGUUUUGGAGAUUUAAUAAUAGUUCUAUGUACAUGAGUGUUCUGUCUGCUUGAGUAUGUGUGCCUUGUGUGCUGCCUUUUGGGUGGUGGUAGACCACAGCAUAGUGGGUGCUGGAAACUGAGCCUAAGUUCUCUGCAAGAACAGCAAGUUAUCUUAACUGUUGAGCCAUCUCUCUUGGCCCCUGAACUCCUAGGUUUUAUUUCAAGCCUUCUUUCUACCCUUAGUAUUCAUAGGUUUGGCCUCUUGCUUGUGUCUCAUAAUUUGUUAAGGUUGUAAUAACGUUUGUUUUUGCUUUAGGUGUUUUUGCCUGGAUUUUGGUUGGAUUUUUGUUUCUGAGACAGGGUCUUACUAUGCAGUGCUGGCUGAUUUGGAACUCUCUAUGUAGACCAUAUUACUCUAUAACUCACAAAGAUCUACUUGUCUCCGUCUCCCAAGUGAUGGGAUUGGAUUAAUGGCUUACACAACCUCACACUGACCCUGUCCAAUGUCAUUUUUAUGGAUUAGGCUGGCUUCCGUCUUUGUAUCUCAGGAUAACUUUGAAAAUUUUUAGCCACCUGCCUCUCCACCCUGAAUGAGUGGCCAUACCUCUGGAUUAUAUGCUGCCGAGAAUCAAACCCAGGACCAUGUGUAUGCUAUACAAGCCCUCUACUAAUUGAACCCAACCUUACUACCCUCAUGUUUUGACCUCACCAUUAUGUUGGGCUGUUCAAAAAGAGUCUCACAGCUUGAGAGAUGGCUCAGCAGCUAAGAGUAUGUUAUGUUUGUACAGAGGAAAAGGUCUCCACCUUUUCAGUGCCCAUCUGGAGUCUUCCAAAUGCUUUUAUUGGAUGUCUAUAUGUCUUUCUAUGCACAUGCCUGCCACACCACUGAUUGAUACACCUACCAUCUAGCUUACGCAGACUUUGACAAUGUAUUUAAAAUAUUAAAGUUUAAUAGUUUUCACAUGUACUAUGUUGAUGAAGUCAAAUAAAUUCCUCUUCAGAUCUCAGCCUCUCUGC
ensembl:lncRNA